GCAAAACUUACGUUUAACAUUACUCACAUCUUCAUCCUCUCCAUCAAACUCUCACAAUCUUCAUCUCAACACUACCACCUUCAACAUUUCUAUCUUUUCGGCGCCUCAACUACAACACAACAAUCUAUAUCUAGCGGCAAGCGGCACGUGAGGAAUAGGUUCAACAAAAAAAAGUCGGAUUUCGGUGCGUUUGAGGUUUGGGGUGCGUUUUAAGGGUCGAUUUCACAAGUUUUCUUCACCAUUAAUCUUCCAUAGUAGUGGGUACAUGAAGAUUUGCAAGUGGGGUGUGGGCUGAGAGCAACGUUCCACUAGCUUAGUUGAAAUAUAGUAGUUUUAUUUCCGCUGCACUAUAUAUAUAUACCAUCAUUUUGGAACUUAAGGUUGUAAAUAUUAAUUUACUUAAACCUUUACACAUUCGGAUUGUAAUAGUUUAAUUUAGUUGUUGCUUUAACAUUAAUUCAGUUAGGUAGUUGUCCUUAACGGUUGUUCCUGUAAUAACCGUGGAAUAACACUUUUGGAUUUCGGGUACUUAUGCAUGGAUGUAUUGAUUUUUGAGCUAGAUAAGGAUUUUGGAGAA